UGCCCCGGGCCGCGGUGGGCCCGCGGGGGGCGGCCGCCCUGCCCUGCCCCAGGGCCGGCCGCGGGGGGAGGUGGGGACCCCGCUGCCCCUCGGGGGGGCCGGGGCGAGGGAGGGCGUAUAAUAAACAGCAUCGUUGUCAUGCGGGCAGGGCUGCCGGCUCCCCAAGCCUCCUCCCCGCGAUAACAACCCAGGUACACAGAUCGGUUUCUAUGAAAAUAGGAGAGCAGAGAGCGGCUGCAGUCCCUCCCGGCCCUGCCUUCCCCGCUGAAGCAUGACACGGUUCUUUAUGCGCGCCCGACAUGGAGGCUGGGCAGCGAGGAGAACCCGGCUGGUUUUUACAGCAGGGCCCCAGCUUUCCAAAGGCUCCCAGCCCUGCUGAGUGCCCCGUCCCCCCUUGUCAUGGAGGCCCAGGCCCCAGCACUGAUGGGCUCCUCGGGUUGCCUCGGCCUCCCCCUGCACCGCUGGCCACACGCUGUCAACAGGGCACCCCUGCAGCCGGGGUACCUGCAGACCCCCGCCUCUAGAACGACCUCCCCACGCAGCCAGACCCCUGGCAGCACACACGCCCCUAGGCAAAGGCCUGGCUCCUGGGCACAGGGUUUUCCCCAUUCCUGUACCCAGUACCUUACCCACCACCAACCCCUCCACCUUGUUCUCAGCACAGAACUCAAACCCCACAGCUACAAAGACCUGAGAUCUGGUUAAAUUCACAACAGGGGCUGUCCCUCAGAGGGUGUUUGGGGCCUGGCUCCUGCCAGAUGAUGCCAGUUUUCACAAACAUGCACCUCUGUGGGAGGGAAGCACUGGGAACUCACAAAUCCAAACCAUGGGUACAGCUUGUUUACCAUAAUGUUACCAGCUAGGUUGUAAUGUUCAGAAUAAAUUACCAUUGAUGUUUAUUAUACCAAAGGAUUGUGUAGAGGAGCAAAAGUAGGAAGAAACCUGCAAGCAGAGCCACCAGCAGAGAAGUUUAGGAAAGGUUUUUCUGCAGGUUUGGCUGAGGUUGUAGCAGUGGGUUCCCCAACCAUUCCCACAUGCAAGGAGGCAAUUACCCCUUUGGGUUUAGGGACACAGCUCUGGCUGGAUGCUUUGCUGAGUCCUAAGGAAAGCACCUUCCCGCUGAUGAAGAAGGAAAUAGGUGGCUGAAGACUGUAGGGUCACAUUUCAGGGAGGAAGUAGAUGAACAAUAGAGAGCACUACUGGUCUGUAAGGGCUGGUAAUGACAGAGAAAGAAACACUUCUAGCACCUGUUCCUGGGAUGGAACAGGACCAAGAAGACUCUUGCCAUUUAUGGUGUCCCCAGAUGUGGUUCCAGUGCCCAAAUGCUGCUGUUGGCAGUACAUGAGUCAAUAAAGUUUGUCACUGGGUCAUAAAACAGGAUGAGCACUUCUCUGCUUGGGGAAGCGCUGCUGUAAAACCAUUAUCUCAGGUAUCAGGAGCAGACUAACAAUGGAAAAAAAAACAUUCAAGAAGCUGAACAAACAUUCAGAUGAUUGGCCUGCACUGUGCUCAAUGCCGAUAGCUGUUCCUGAAGUACUGAGAUCAGUGACAGGGUUAUCGCCUUCAGUACAGACAUGUGGCCAAACAGCUCAGUUUCACUUUCACAUCUGAUAGGAUUUUGCAUCUUUUAAACAGAUACCUCAUUGGAAUUUAAAUUCCCUUCUGAAAAACGUAAUGCAAAAUUUCUGAGUAUAGGAGCAGUGAACUCUGAUCAGAGUCUGUCCAGAAUAACCCUGCGUGCUGUGUCUCACCUCUCCUAUCUCUGUUAUCUCCCCAAACCAGCCUUAUCUCCAGAAGACUACUGGAGAGGUGGAGCUGGGUUGGGUUGUGCUUUUUUUUUUAUAUUAUUUUUAAUACAUUAUUUGCUUUUGAUUCCAGAUGUGAAUAGCUCUUUCUAGUAACUAAUUUGGUGACCUUAAAUGAGGAAGGAGCAGGAUGUAUGCCAUUUUCUUCCAAAAGGAAACUGUAGACAUUAUUAUGUAAACAUCCAUGCAACAAUGUAUUGCUAAUGUCAGGAUAGCAAAAUUCAAAGCGACUAGAUACUGAACUGAAACAUCUCAUUGAAAUGUCCACUUUUAACUUCCUUUUGUCCCAGCAUUGGUGUUGGCAGAGAAUGCAGUGAAUGAAUCAUGUUUCUAGUCUGCAGUGAAGGUGAUCAUAUGCUAGAGCUCCAAAGAAGAAGAAAAUGCGUCCCAUAGACAUGCAAGGAUGCAGCUCUCUUUUUCUCCUGUGUAUAGGGUGUAAAGUGUAAACGAGUUGCAAAGGUAAGAACUCUGCUCAGGUUUGGCCAGCUGGAAACUCUUCAACACACUGCAGACAGUUUCUCCAUCAAGCCAUGGUUAAGACGCUGGGAAAGGACAGGGAAGAAAAAGCAAAUUUCCCUGCUAUUAAAUGAAAAAACCCAGAUCAAAUGUUCUACAUAUUGACAGCACAGAAACACACCUCAGUACAUACAGCAAAGGAGUUUUUAGUGUGCAUAACCUGUCAGCCAUUCAUCAUAGUGUACAAAGCCUGAGAUGUCCUGCUAUGUCACCUGUAUUCUCCUCUUUUCUCUUCUAUACAAAGGGAGUUCAUCUACCCAUUCUACACAGAAGUGGGAAAGAGGAGUGUAGAGAGUUUCUUCCAAACACUUCAAGAGCAGUUUGAGAUCUUAACCAUGAAUGCAGGAGCACAGAGGCUUGCUAGUAUGUACACUACAUGUAUAUAGCCCAGGUCUUAGUGUACAGAAGUCAAGAGCUGAGUCUGUCUUGGGCAGACAAAGAUCAGCCGGUCAGAGGCAGGAACACCGUGUCCUUACUGAGCAUGGGAGAUCUGCAGCAGGGAUGGCUCUCUCCUUUCACCUAAGCCCCCUCAUAAAAUAAGAUCGAGUCCCCUCUCACUUCUCAUCCUGUGAGACAGGGGUUCUCUUUCCAAAAGUAUGAGCAGGGGAGGGGAGUAAAGGCAGAGGCCCAGCAGGACCACACAGAGAGGUGGCAGGGUCAGGAGUGUGGUCAGUAGUGAAACCCAUGAGCCACCCAGGACAGGUUGAGUCUGAGGUAACUGUUUUGAAGCCACUACCACACUACUGAAUUUUGCUCUCCCAAUAAUUCCAAGGAAACACUGUUCUUUAGAUAUUGAGAAGCUUUAAGCCAGUACUGAUCAUUCUCCCCCUAUUCAUAUAAGGAGAAAAAUAGCUACAUUCCUAGUUGACAAUUUUCACAGGGAAAGAAUUCCAUUGAUUCAAGAGUGUGGAUCAAUCUUUAAGAAAAGAGCAUGUGAACAUAAAAGGCCCAAUUUCAAAAGAACCCUCCAAAGUCAUGAAUAAAUUUUUAAACAUACGCAAGUUUUGCAUUAAAUACUCCAUGAUCAUAGUUUUGCACAUAUACAUUUGUAUGCAAACUGUCUCAUAUGUGAACCCUAUCCAUGUUGCUGUCUUGCACUUUCCAUUUCGUGAGGUGCUGCCUAUAUUGUGUCUGUAGAAGCCACAUAGAUUAUUAUAUUUGCCUCUGAAAUUCUGUCCCUGGCCACCUCACCAUUUUUGCUUUCUUCGCUCAAAUUUCUUCUGAGAUCAGACUCUAAAUGCUCUGCAGCGUGGCCACUUUAUGACCAACUUUACUGUAAGAUACUGAAAUAAAAGUAUUUUUUUUACUCAUCUAUCUAUAGCUGAUAUAAUUUUCUAUCCUUCUUCAUUUCCUUUUCCUGUAUGCAAAAAUGUGCCAGCGAUGAUUACGGUGAUUAGUAUUUUGCCGAUGUCCACAGUAAGCUAGUGCUUCUCUGUUAAAUAUUUUAAUAGGAAGUUGUUCUGAGUCACAACUGAGCCUUUCCCCUGUGCAAGGCAUGUCUGAGAGCACUGUCUGAAAUCACAGAGCUACUUCGUGUAAAGCAGAAAGAGGCUGUGAUGUUAUAUGUCCAUCCCAACAUGCACUGAAGGGCACUUACCGUGCCCAUUAGGAUGUUCUUAAUUACUGGAGAUAAGAAGCUCACCAGGGGAUCUUGAGCCUUCUCUGUAAUAAGUUUAAAAGGGAGAAGGGGGUGUGUCAUAGCUGGAGCAUGUUAUCUAUACUCGGUUUCAUGAAUCUUAUACAGUGUAGCAAUCUCCUAAUCAUAUUAAAUUAGACAAUCUUUAAGGUGAUUGCUUUACGUGUGUAGAGGUGUGAACGUGUAUCCUAGAGGCAGAAAAGAUGGGAGCACUUCAGUUAAAAUUAACUUCUCUCUGACUGGGAGCUUUCCAUUAUUAAUGGGAAAGGUUUGUAUGGGAUGGAAACGUUAUCAGUGAGUAUGCAUUGCUGCCAUUCUCUGUAGGCAUUUCAGCCAAAGCUACAGCAGACAAAAUAUGCCUACAGUGAGUGCUGCUUAACAAGUUCCAAUUCAACCUUUGUUUUCAGUUGCUUGUAUAUUUUUCAUAAUUUAACCAUUAAAAUGGAAAGUGUCCAUGAUGACUGCGUGGCUAAAACAUACCCAAACCUCUUCUGACAAUGACAGUGGAAGAAAUCAUUGUAAAAUUACCAAAUUGCCAGGUAAACAGAGCCAAGUUGCAAGAGUCUGAAAAACAUUCAUAUGUGCUCAGUAGGGGUUGAUAAACAAGUCUUAGAUGUUCUGUCUGGACUAAAUGUGCUCUAGGCUAAAGUGAAUGUGAUUCAGCUCAUGACUGUGGAAGCAAAGCUCAUGAGAGUUAAAAAUGGCUAGACAGUGUACCAGGGUGGAGGGAUCAGGCAUAUAUGCAGAGAGAGAGCUAGGAAAAGCUGGAAGGGGACCAGGAGCUAAAGCCUGGGAAGGACAUAAGGAAAAGCAGAAAGGGGUCAGGAGAUAGAGGUAAAAACAGCCACAAAUUUAAGAUGACAAAGAUUGCAGAACAUAUUAUAAUUCAUCAAGAAAACCCACACAUGACCUGACAAAAUUCUGUGGCCCACUGUGUCUCAUUCUCUGACGGUAACUUCUGCAUACAAAGACUAAUGAUCUGUUACUAUGCUGCCAAUUAACUCAUCAGCUUAUGUGGAAAUCUUGACACUGCAUUCAAAGACACUGGACUCUAUGACCUAGUAGAGUGUCUAAGUGGUAACCAGCCUGAGAUUUUGUGCUGGGGGAUAAAACAAAGAAACCAACCCAGAAAGAGAUUAUUAAAGAUUGUUAUCACAAACCUCCCAAGAAGACAGCAGAAUUAAAGUUGCACCAGCAGCCUGAGCCCAAGCAUUUCCCAAUGUUUGACUACCUGACUUUGCAACUUCACUGUUCUUUGCUUUUUCUCUUGUGGCAUGUGAAACGCUUUAGCAGUCACUUGUUGAGAAACACUCAUCAAAACCUAGCGCUUCCAUUAAUAUGCAGUAAACAUUACACAUGAUAUGAAGAUUACCUUGUUGGACAGAAGAUAAGACGCACAGUCUACUUUGCUGUUCCCAUAAUUUUAAGUGUUUGGCAGAGGUGUCAUUCAUUGCAAUCAAACUAAGGACUUCUCAUCUCCAUUUGAUAUACUAAUCUAUAAAAUGCCUCUUCAAAUGGCCAGGUGAGAAACCCCAUCUCUAAAAUAAGAAACUCAUAAUGCCUAGGAAAAAACCCCUGUAACAGACAUUUCUCCUCUGGAGAAAUAUUUUAAAUGUGUCAUCUAAAGCCUCAGAGAUUUAUUGGCUGAGAAAUAUGCUGAGAGUUGGCAGGAACAAUAAAUUUAGUGCCAGACUCAUGACACUAACCCCAUCGUAGUUUCCCCUCAUAAAUACUGGAGAAAAGGAUUUCUCUCACAUGUCCUCUGGUACAUUUGUCAAAGUACUUUUUGGAAUGUGGCUUAAUGAAUUAUUACAUCCCGACAUGGACAGCAGGACAUAUUUAUUUAAGAAGCUUUGUAACUUCAUGUCUGUGUCACCUGAAUGACAGUGCUAGAAGCUGAGGAACAAAAGAAAUAAUGUGGCUAGCAUGAAGAUUCUUGAGAUUGUGGCUGGUUUGUACCACUGGGUGAUACUAGUACUCAAAGGCACUUGCGGGUAAGGACUGAGAUAUUGCUGGUGUUUAAGGUGUUGAGGAGAGUUCUCAGGCUGUGUGGCUGUGGUGAUGCUGAGGGUGAUGACCAUGAUGGAUGCCAGGAUGAAAAUGGGCAUGGGGAAGUGCUUGGAGAAGUAGAUAUGAUACUGAGCCUAAUAGGUUGCAGGGGAAGAAAGUCUUCACCGUCCGGGCAGAAAGUGAGGCAAGUUACUCAUUCUCAACAAAGAGGGACUCAGCAGUCUGGGCAGCCAUUCCUUUCCAGGGAGUGAAGGAAGCUGGAAGGGUGGGACUGAAGCUGCUGCGUCCACCACCACCACACUUGGUCUGAAAUGCUAUCACUUAAGCCUUCUAGUGUUCUCUGACAGGUCAGCACACCACCCUGUGCAAUGCAGGAACUGGUUCCAGCUGGCUCCUGUGAGAGCUUCUUAAAAGCACAUUUCUUCACACAUUCCACAUACCCACUACCUCCAGAUCACGUUUCUUGUGAUGGCCUGUGAGAGUGCCCCUUCCUACUUACAUCUUGUCAUGUGGCAGCCACAUGUUGAUUGUUUCCCCAUUAACCAUGCCAAACCUAAUAUCCUGCUCACCUAUUUGUCUUUCAGAGAUCUCCAGGCUAUACUCCCUGCUCAUGACACGUCCUUCAUAUCCUGCUUCUCAAGAAUCACAACCUCAUUUCUUUGGAAUUCCUUCCCCAAAACUCCAUCCCUCCCAGACACCCAGGACAGCUGAUUAGGUCUACCACAUCUCUAAUGAGUGUGGGUUAGAGUAAGAAUGUAAAGAGCCUGGAAUUAAAGAGGUAUAUAGUAUGAGAAGAAAAGGUCAUGAGUAGGAUGUGGAGGAGGAAAGGAUGUUAGUGCGCUUAAUAAUAAUUAAGAUUAUAACUUGUAAUUAACAUUACCUUGCCUGGUGUUUCAGUGAUCCCUUUGUUGUAUAAUGUAUCCCUUUCUCCACAGUCUGACUUUGUUUUCCUCAACACUGCCCUCUUCAAAGAAGGCACAGUUUUCUUCUGAGUUUGGAAAGUUAUAUGUUUAUAAAUAAUAAAUAGAAUAAUAAUAAAUCAGGGCUACUGCA